GGUGAAUGGGUUGGGAAGGCCGUUCAGUCAGGGUAAGAGGCACCAUGGCGAACCUUAGGAUUUUGAGAAUCUGGGAAAAAGUGAAGAUGC